rnacentral:rRNA from 1 species
UACGAAGGGGGCUAGCGUUGCUCGGAAUCACUGGGCGUAAAGGGCGCGUAGGCGGAUCUUUAAGUCAGGGGUGAAAGCCUGAGGCUCAACCUCAGAAUUGCCUUUGAUACUGAAGAUCUUGAGACCGGAAGAGGUAAGUGGAACUGCGAGUGUAGAGGUGAAAUUCGUAGAUAUUCGCAAGAACACCAGUGGCGAAGGCGGUCUCUGGUCCGGGUUCUGACGCUGAGGCGCGAAAAGCGUGGGGAGCAAACAGG